GAUUAAUUCUUAAUGAAUUGUUUCCUUACAUGGGUUGGUUAGUUAUUUUUUGUCUCAUUUAUAUCCUAACAACUAAUACGGGCCCACAUUAUUAUUUAUAUAUUUACCUUUUUCAUUCUCUCUUUUACUAUUUAUUUUCAAUAUUGAAAAGUCUCUCAAUAGGCAACUUACUUACAAGUUGUCUUCUUCAAAGCAUUACAACAAGCAGUCAUUAUAUUGAAGCAAUGCAAUACUUUUCAUAUCAUUAUAUCAACUUAAUUAUCUUGCUCUAUAAUUUCUUACCCUUUAAUUUCUGCUACUAUCUAUUAUUUCUUGUACUUCGAUUAUUUUAUUUAUCUGUGAUAACUACUAAUGCUUUUUAAACUGCUUUAUCAUGACUUAUUCGCCUUCGUUACUUUUAUUUUCACACUGCACUAAAUUGAUUGAACUUAUAUGUCCUUUUUGCGUACACUCUACCCCAGAUCCCACUUUAUGGGCUUUCACCGGGAAUGUUGUUGUAUACCAACUAAUCAAAUUCUUGAGCCAGUUUUAUUAUUCUACCUUUAUUUUAUACUUUUUCAUUGCAAAUUUGUUGUUGAUAUUAUUAUAUAGGGCCUCUCUGAAAUUUGGCUUUAGGCCCCAAUCAUGUUGAUAAAGCCCUGAUUUAAGGUUAUAAUUGGGAACAAUAUGUGGUUCACUUGUGUUUAAGUAUUAUAAACGAAACUAAUAUAGGGUCAUUAUUCUUUUAUUUUGUUCUUUAUUAAUUUCCAUAUAAAGAGAAAAUUGAUGGAGGGUCAAGAACUGAAGAAGAAGAGAAGUUGUAUUCUUGGCUAUAUGCUUUGGCUCAAUCUGAAAAAGACUUGGUGUAUGAGUACGUUCGAUCCACUGAAAGAGGUAAUUUUCUCUUGAAAAACAUUUCCAUUUUUCUGAUUUUCUAUUUACGAAAAUCAUGGAAGUUUUCUUUAUUUCUUGGCUAAAAAUAAGGGCAGCCCGGUGCAUAAAGUAUUAUGUCCACAAGAUUCAGGGAAGGGUCGUACCCAAAGAGUGUGAUAUAGACAACCUAC
rnacentral:lncRNA from 1 species